UACGUAGGUGGCGAGCGUUGUCCGGAUUUACUGGGCGUAAAGGGCGUGCAGGCGGUUUGUUAAGUGCAGGGUGAAAGCUCCCGGCUCAACUGGGAGAGGUCCUUGCAUACUGGCGAACUCGAGGGAGGCAGAGGAAAGUGGAAUUCCCGGUGUAGUGGUGAUAUGCGUAGAUAUCGGGAGGAACACCUGUGGCGAAGGCGGCUUUCUGGGCCUUACCUGACGCUGAGACGCGAAAGCGUGGGGAGCAAAUAGG
rnacentral:rRNA from 1 species